rnacentral:SRP_RNA from 1 species
GCCGGACGCGGUGGCGCGCGCCUGUAGUCCCAGCUACUCGGGAGGCUGAGAUGGGAGGAUCGCUUGAGCCCAGGAGUUCUGGGCUGUAGUGCGCUAUGCCGGUCGGGUGUCCGCACUAAGUUCGGCAUCAAUAUGGUGACCUCCCGGGAGCAGGGGACCACCAGGUUGCCUAAGGAGGGGUGAACCGGCCCAGGUGGGAAACGGAGCAGGUCAAAACUCCCGUGCUGAUCAGUAGUGGGAUUGCGCCUGUGAAUAGCCACUGCACUCCAGCCUGGGCAACAUAGCGAGACCCCGUCUCU